CAGAGCGUAGUUCUAACAGAUUAAGACUUCUCACUUACACCGAGAGAAUGCUCGUGCAAGUCGAGUCGCUCUG
rnacentral:tRNA from 2 species